GAUUUCAAGACAGAGCUUAAUGUUCUCUGAACUUCCUUGUUUGCUGAACGGCAGGUUGAAGCAGAAUUUGCCCGUCUUACAUCUGUUGACCUGAAAGGGUUCCUUUUUGCUGUGCUUGACCAUUAUGGAGAGGUUCGUGGAGCUGUACAAAAUCAAGAGCGGCAUAGGAGGGCUGACUAGGCUCAUAAAAUGCUUCAAUGAUGAUAGCCCUACACAAAGGAAGAGGAGAGAGGACCUCAUUUUCUAAAGGAAGAUCCCUCACACACUUUCAAGACUGUGAAGCCGACAGGUAUUGAAGACACGUUUUCUAAGAGGAUGAAAGUUGGCAUUGCGAUGGUGAAAGAAGAAGACAUCAUCGAUGUGUUGGUUGUCCUUGAGGCGGCAGUAAUCCUGUCUAAUCUGAGGGAUGUCUCAAGUGCCAUUUCCAUGCUGAUGGGCCUUCUUUUUGCCCUCAACAUAGACUAUCCAAAGGAACUUAAGGACAUCUUUGAAGUCAUUCAGAACAUCCUAAUGAACAUUGGUGGAAGGCAGUGCAUCUCACUAGUGCAUGGUCUAAGAAACAGACUCUUGCAGAAAGCCAUGCAGAACUGUAAUUGUAUGCUCACAGCAUACAGUUGCCUCAGUGUUAAGGACAGUUUUUAUUUUACUGUUUGUUUUUUUAUUCUUGCAAGUUCUCAUUCUCACUUUUGUAUGUCACUAAAUGACUGCACUUUAUAUUCCAGAUUAGACAAUUACUCAUUUGUUCAUGGUUUAAGAAACUUAUGUGAACAACAAUAUAAUGGUGGACUUUGCAGAUGCUUAUCUCAUGCAAGUCAGUAGUUUUUCCUUUGUUUUGCAAUUGAGCAGACUCAAACUGAUGUUUCUGAAAUAUCCAUAUUAUCAAAUGUUUCAGAAGCAUGCAGUCAUUUUCAGAGAUAUUGGUUCUGUGGAAUUUGUUGCAAUUGUAAACGAAGACAAAUACAAGAGUUUGAUGUCUUAGUUGUUAUAAACUGAUCUUUACUGUCACUUAUCAAAGGUUUUGUACUAUUUUAAUAUUUCAAGUUUUAUGCUAACAGGUAUGACUGAGCACAAUGAAGUUUAAAAAUUUUGCAAAUGUAAAGAAUAACUUUUCUAAAAUAGCAAGUGUCCCGUUGAUACAUUACAUUAAUGCAGACUUUAUGUUGUUACUUCACAAGAAUCACUACUGCUCCUAGAGUAUUGGUCAGAAUUUAAUCUUCACCCAAACUGGGCUCAAGACCAAGUUCAAAUUUAUUGUUUCACAGGGAGCAGCCUUUGAGUUUUGAUGGAUUGUGAGCCUGAUGAGCUACGUCACUGAUUUUUCUGUUUCUCAGAUGACUAAGAUGGCACAAUAAAUGGUGAAUGUUGG
ensembl:lncRNA